rnacentral:rRNA from 1 species
AAUGAACGUUGGCGGCGUGGAUUAGGCAUGCAAGUCGAGCGAGAAACUUUUUUCUGAUCUUUCGAGUGAAGAAGAAAGCGGACAGCGGCGAAAGGGAGAGUAACGAGUAGAUUACGUACCCAGGGGUUUGGGAUAGCGGGGUGAAAACGCCGGUAAUACCGAAUAACGUCUCCGGACCAAAAAUUUAUUGCCCUUGGAGCGGUUUGCUUACUAUUAGCUUGUUGGUGGGGUAAAGGCCUACCAAGGCUAAGAUGGUUAGCGGGUGUGAGAGCAUGGCCCGUCUCACUGGGACUGAGACACUGCCCAGACACCUACGGGUGGCUGCAGUCGAGAAUCUUCCGCAAUGGACGAAAGUCUGACGGAGCGACGCCGCGUGCGGGAUGAAGGCCCUCGGGUUGUAAACCGCUGUCAUAGGGGAGGAAAUUUUGACCGAUCCUAAGAGGAAGCACAGGCUAAGUUCG